CAUCAGAAGUAAAGACUGACUUUUGAGAGACAGAGGUAUUCAUGGAGGAUAACAGAGCUGGGGGAGUUGUUAUAGCAUCACAUGUGGUUAUGAGACACUUGUAUUGGCGGCAGAUGGUUACAGUUUCUUGGUAAGCUGCUCUUCACCAAAAUCUACACUUGCCAUUCUCAGUGAGUACCUGGCCCUUUUAGCCUCAGGACAAUGCGUCAACCUGGCUUCCCUGGUCCAGAGCGUGUCCAGGCAGCAGUGAUGUAAUGGCAACCACCCUUCACUGACAUGACCCAUUCAACCUUAAUUAACUCUCCAAUGAGUGGGCCACAACUCUAAAUUCUUUAUUCUGCCUCAUUUGGACAUCUGUGAUAAAUUGAAUGAAAUCAAGACAGCAGUACACUGAUUAUCAAGAUCAAGAAAAAUAAGGAAAGACUGACAAGCUAUCACAGACCAGAGCAAGGGAGACAUGAGGAUUAAUGUGGUCUCUGAUUGAGAUCUCAGAGCAGAGAGGAUAUUAAGGUAAGGACAGAGGACACUGGCUGGCUUUACUUCUUACCAUGCUGUUGCUAUCACUCAGAAAUCAUCCAUGGCCCAGUUUUUCCCAGUGCUCCUCUAGUAUUGAGACUGUAAAAGCUAAAACACGUUCCCUGUGACUCCCUUGCAGAAUGAGAGCAUGGACAAGAGCGGCAUUCUCUGGACAUGUGGGUGGUUGCCUAUUCUUGGGUUUAUGAGACCAAUCAGCUUGCAGAACAUAAAAUAGCAUGGAAACUACCACAAGCAUAAA